rnacentral:rRNA from 1 species
CGUACGCAACUUUCCUUCAAGCAGGGAAUAGCCCAGAGAAAUUUGGAUUAAUACCCCAUAACAUAAUGAGAAAGCAUUUUCUUAUUAUUAAAGAUUUAUCACUUGAAGAUGGGCGUGCGGCUGAUUAGGUAGUUGGCGGGGUAAUGGCCCACCAAGCCUACGAUCAGUAGCUGAUGUGAGAGCAUGAUCAGCCACACGGGCACUGAGACACGGGCCCG